rnacentral:rRNA from 1 species
UACAGAGGGUGCAAGCGUUAAUCGGAAUUACUGGGCGUAAAGCGUGCGUAGACGGUUAUGUAAGUCGGGUGUGAAAGCCCCGGGCUCAACCUGGGAAUGCCAUUCGAGACUGCAUAGCUAGGGUGCGGAAGAGGGAAGCGGAAUUUCCGGUGUAGCGGUGAAAUGCGCAGAUAUCGGGAGGAACACCGGUGGCGAAGGCGGAUCUCUGGGCCUGUCCUGACGCUCAGGCGCGAAAGCUAGGGGAGCGAACAGG